rnacentral:rRNA from 1 species
AGAGUUUGAUCCUGGCUCAGAAUGAACGCUGGCGGCGUGCUUAACACAUGCAAGUCGAACGAGAAAGGGAUUGCUUGCAAUCCUGAGUAGAGUGGCGCACGGGUGAGUAACACGUAGAUAAUCUACCUUCAAGCCUGGAAUAACUGUUCGAAAGGGCAGCUAAUACCGGAUAAAGUUGGGCAGCACAAGUUGCCUUAUGAAAGAUUGCCUCUCCUUGGAAGCAAUUGUUUGAAGAUGAGUCUGCGGACCAUUAGUUUGUUGGUGGGGUAACGGCCUACCAAGACUACGAUGGUUAGCUGGUCUGAGAGGAUGAUCAGCCACACUGGAACUGACACACGGUCCAGACUCCUACGGGAGGCAGCAGUGAGGAAUUUUGCGCAAUGGGGGUAACCCUGACGCAGCAACGCCGCGUGAGUGAAGAAGGCCUUUGGGUCGUAAAGCUCUGUCGACAGGGAAGAAAUUAACAUCAUCCAAUAGGUGUUGUUAUUGACGGUACCUGUAGAGGAAGCACCGGCUAACUCCGUGCCAGCAGCCGCGGUAACACGGGGGGUGCAAGCGUUAUUCGGAAUUAUUGGGCGUAAAGGGCGCGUAGGCGGUCUUGUCGGUCAGAUGUGAAAGCCCGGGGCUCAACCCUGGAAGUGCAUUUGAAACAGCAAGACUUGAGUACUGGAGAGGAGAGCGGAAUUCCUGGUGUAGAGGUGAAAUUCGUAGAUAUCAGGAGGAACACCGAUGGCGAAGGCAGCUCUCUGGACAGAUACUGACGCUGAGGCGCGAAGGCGUGGGUAGCGAACAGGAUUAGAUACCCUGGUAGUCCACGCAGUAAACGUUGUACACUCGGUGUGCCGGAUAUUAAAAUCUGGUGUGCCCAAGUUAACACAUUAAGUGUACCGCCUGGGGAGUACGGUCGCAAGACUAAAACUCAAAGGAAUUGACGGGGGCCCGCACAAGCGGUGGAGCAUGUGGUUUAAUUCGACAACGCGAAGAACCUUACCCGGGUUUAACAUUGAUGGAACCCUGUAGAGAUACGGGGGUGCCCUUCGGGGCCCAGAAAAUAGGUGCUGCAUGGCUGUCGUCAGCUCGUGUCGUGAGAUGUUGGGUUAAGUCCCGCAACGAGCGCAACCCCCGCUGCUAGUUGCCAUCAGGUAAUGCUGGGCACUCUAGCGGGACUGCCGGUGUCAAGCCGGAGGAGGGUGGGGAUGACGUCAAGUCCUCAUGGCCUUUAUGCCCGGGGCUACACACGUGCUACAAUGGUCGCUACAGAGCGCUGCGAACCCGCGAGGGGGAGCCAAUCGCAAAAAGGCGGCCUCAGUUCGGAUCGGAGUCUGCAACUCGACUUCGUGAAGUCGGAAUCGCUAGUAAUCGUGGAUCAGCAUGCCACGGUGAAUACGUUCCCGGGCCUUGUACAC